CCGCCUGGGGAGUACGGCCGCAAGGUUAAAACUCAAAUGAAUUGACGGGGGCCCGCACAAGCGGUGGAGCAUGUGGUUUAAUUCGAUGCAACGCGAAGAACCUUACCUACUCUUGACAUCCAGCGAAGACUGCAGAGAUGCGGUCGUGCCUUCGGGAACGCUGAGACAGGUGCUGCAUGGCUGUCGUCAGCUCGUGUUGUGAAAUGUUGGGUUAAGUCCCGCAACGAGCGCAACCCUUAUCCUCUGUUGCCAGCACUACGGGUGGGAACUCAGGGGAGACUGCCGGUGAUAAACCGGAGGAAGGUGGGGAUGACGUCAAGUCAUCAUGGCCCUUACGAGUAGGGCUACACACGUGCUACAAUGGCGUAUACAAAGAGAAGCGACCUCGCGAGAGCAAGCGGACCUCAUAAAGUACGUCGUAGUCCGGAUUGGAGUCUGCAACUCGACUCCAUGAAGUCGGAAUCGCUAGUAAUCGUAGAUCAGAAUGCUACGGUGAAUACGUUCCCGGGCCUUGUACACACCGCCCGUCACACCAUGGGAGUGGGUUGCAAAAGAAGUAG
rnacentral:rRNA from 1 species